rnacentral:rRNA from 1 species
UACGUAGGGUGCAGGCGUUAAUCGGAAUUACUGGGCGUAAAGCGUGCGCAGGCGGUUCUGAAAGUCAGCUGUGAAAGCCCCGGGCUUAACCUGGGAAUUGCGGUUGAAACUACAGGGCUAGAAUCUGGCAGAGGGGGGUGGAAUUCCACGUGUAGCAGUGAAAUGCGUAGAGAUGUGGAGGAACACCAGUGGCGAAGGCGACUACCUGGACCAGCACUGACACUGAGGCACGAAAGCGUGGGGAGCAAACAGG